UACGAAGGGUGCAAACGUUGCUCGGAAUUAUUGGGCGUAAAGCGCACGUAGGCGGAUUUGUAAGUCAGGGGUGAAAUCCCGGGGCUCAACCUCGGAACUGCCUUUGAUACUGCGAAUCUUGAGUCCGAUAGAGGUGGGUGGAAUUCCUAGUGUAGAGGUGAAAUUCGUAGAUAUUAGGAAGAACACCCGUGGCUAAGGCGGCUCUCUAGUACGGUACUGACGCUGAGACGCGAAAGCGUGGGGAGCGAACAGG
rnacentral:rRNA from 1 species